GAUGAACGCUGGCGGCGUGCCUAAUACAUGCAAGUCGAGCGAACAGACGAGGAGCUUGCUCCUUUGACGUUAGCGGCGGACGGGUGAGUAACACGUAGGUAACCUACCUAUAAGACUGGGAUAACUUCGGGAAACCGGAGCUAAUACCGGAUAAUAUUUCGAACCGCAUGGUUCGAUAGUGAAAGAUGGCUUUGCUAUCACUUAUAGAUGGACCUGCGCCGUAUUAGCUAGUUGGUAAGGUAACGGCUUACCAAGGCAACGAUACGUAGCCGACCUGAGAGGGUGAUCGGCCACACUGGAACUGAGACACGGUCCAGACUCCUACGGGAGGCAGCAGUAGGGAAUCUUCCGCAAAGGGCGAAAGCCUGACGGAGCAACGCCGCGUGAGUGAUGAAGGUCUUCGGAUCGUAAAACUCUGUUAUUAGGGAAGAACAAACGUGUAAGUAACUGUGCACGUCCUGACGGUACCUAAUCAGAAAGCCACGGCUAACUACGUG
rnacentral:rRNA from 1 species